GAUGAAGAACGUAGUGAAAUGCGAUAAGUAAUGUGAAUUGCAGAAUUCAGUGAACCAUCGAAUCUUUGAACGCACAUUGCGCCCGGCAGUAAUCUGCCGGGCAUGCCUGUCCGAGCGUCAUUUCUACCCUCGAGCGAGUCCAGCAUCUAGGUGCUGGGCCUUGCCCGGCGUUGGAGCACUACGGGAAGCCCUGUGCUGUCCCCCGUAGGCCCCGAAAUGAAGUGGCGGUCCUGCCGCGGCGCCCCCUGCGUAGUAUAACAGCUCGCUUCGGGACCCGGUGGAGGCCUGCCGUCAAACCUAUACUCUCUAAGUUUGACCUCGGAUCAGGUAGGGUUACCCGCUGAACUUAAGCAUAUCAAUAAGCGGAGGA
rnacentral:misc_RNA from 1 species